UGGGGAAUAUUGCACAAUGGGCGCAAGCCUGAUGCAGCCAUGCCGCGUGUAUGAAGAAGGCCUUCGGGUUGUAAAGUACUUUCAGCGGGGAGGAAGGCGAUAAGGUUAAUAACCUUGUCGAUUGACGUUACCCGCAGAAGAAGCACCGGCUAACUCCGUGCCAGCAGCCGCGGUAAUACGGAGGGUGCAAGCGUUAAUCGGAAUUACUGGGCGUAAAGCGCACGCAGGCGGUCUGUCAAGUCGGAUGUGAAAUCCCCGGGCUCAACCUGGGAACUGCAUUCGAAACUGGCAGGCUAGAGUCUUGUAGAGGGGGGUAGAAUUCCAGGUGUAGCGGUGAAAUGCGUAGAGAUCGGGAGGAAUACCGGUGGCGAAGGCGGCCCCCUGGACAAAGACUGACGCUCAGGUGCGAAAGCGUGGGGAG
rnacentral:rRNA from 1 species